UUUUUUGCCCCCAUUACCCUCCUUUCUGUGUAAACAUUAAUUCAUUUUCUCCCAUCUUUUCUACCCAGCAGACCUUAAAGAGAGGAAGAGAUUGUAAUAUUCUUCAAGGGAAGCCUUUUGAGGUUGAAAUAUCAUACUUUGAAUGAUAACUCUAUAUCUAUCUAUAAUAUACUAUGGUUGAAUGUUUGGAAAUCAAACGCAGUAUUUAUUUUUCAUGUGAACUACUAUAAGUAAAUCUGCAUGGACUUCUUGCCUGGUGAGUUACACAGAAAAUGAAAGUAAUUAUCAGUGGUUGUGGCAAGACUGAAGGAACCGUGCCAGAACUUCUGAGGGAAGGAAGAGUGUUUGGGACUGAAAAAUCCUUGUCUGGAUCUAGUCCUCAGCCACUCAGAAGCUGGCAUGCCAUGACUCAAAGAGCUGCCUGUCUGGAACGAAGACAGUGCCCUGGAACUCCCACCUGAAGAGCAGGUGCUUGGAAAAUGCUGCCAGUCCGCAGGAAAAAGUUGUUACUGCUGCUGUCUGUGACCAAGAGGACACUUUAUUUCUUGAAACAACUGGGGGAAAACUGGCUCCCAGAUAAGGCUUCAGUCCCUACCCAUGUGAGGAAACCAGCCCUGCACCUGAGAGUUUAUUCAAUGACGAUAAUACUCACAAGACCCUUUUUGGAUUUGUGGCCCAACCCACAAGUUAUAGUUCCUUCUCUGAAUAUUUCAUCCAGAUUGUGAAAAGCAGCUUCUGGCAGCCACAGUUGUACUAUGUGAUCCCUACUUUCCAUGCCCAGGAAUGAUUCUACCCUGUAGUAGACACCUAAAGCAAUCCCGAUCGAUCAGAGUCUUUGUUCCUGACAUUUGGGAUUAGAGCAUGGCUGAAGGUUUAAGACACAAGCUUGGAAGCUGUGGGGCAGCAAUACACCUCCAUGAGGACAGAGAAGCAGGGGAAAUAAGAAUAAAGCAGAAGCUCACAGAAACGCAGGAAAUACUUCUAGAGUUCUAACACUUUUUGGGUUUCUUGUUCUAGUCCAUUCUUGACACACUUGUGCCUUACAGAAGCCAAUGGCAAGAAUGCAGUCAGAUCCUUCCAAUAAAUUCCUUUUAUUCUGUUUACAUUA